rnacentral:rRNA from 1 species
AACUGCUGGACAAGGAGUGUUCUGUUGAGCUCAUUUUCACACGAUGAACAACUGGCUUAGAACUGAUUCGGGCAAGGGGAAUCCGACUGUUUAAUUGAAACAAAGCAUUGCGAGGGCCUCAAAGGGUGGUGCCACAAUGUGAUUUCUGCCCAGUGCUCUGAAUGUCAAAGUGAGGAAAUUCAACUAAGCGCGGGUAAACGGCGGGAGUAACUAUGACUCUCUUAAGGUAGCCAAAUGCCUCGUCAUCCAAUUAGUGACGCGCAUGAAUGGAUUAAUGAGAUUCCCACUGUCCCCAUCUACUGUCCAGCGAAACCACAGCCAAGGGAACGGGCUUGGGUAAAUCAGCGGGGAAAGAAGACCCUGUUGAGCUUGACUCUAAUCUGACUUUGUGAAAUGACUUAGGAGGUGUAGGAUAUGUGGGAGCUCUGGUGAUCUUGAAAUACCACUACUCUUAAUGUCACUUUACUUACUCUAUCAGACUGUGGCCUGCUUCCCAGCAGGUUUUUGUUUCAAGGCAUCUCAUCUGACUUGUUGACUUGCGUAGAGGACGUAGUCAGGUGGGCAGUUUGGCUGGGGCGGCACAUCUGUUAAAGGAUAACGCAGGUGUCCCAAGGUAAGCUCAAGGAGAACAGAAAUCUCAUGUGGAUCAGAAGGGGAAAUGCUUGCUUGAUUUUGCUUUUCAGUGUGAAGACAAACUGUGCAAACAUGGCCUAUCGAUCCUUUGG